rnacentral:rRNA from 1 species
GAUGUCAGCUGAAGUGAGAAAACCCCCUGAAUUUAAGCAUAUUACUAAGGGGAGGAAAAGAAACUAACAAGGAUUCCCCUAGUAACGGCGAGUGAAGCGGGAAGAGCUCAAACUUGAAAUCCGCUGGUGUAACACCUGUGGAAAUGUAGCCUAGAGACGCUCUCUCAUGCUAGACCGGUUAUA